GCGGUCGUGGCGGAAUUGGCAUACGCGCACGUUUGAGGGGCGUGUGGGAGACCGUACGGGUUCAAGUCCCGUCGACCGCACCA
rnacentral:tRNA from 5 species